CCUCGUGUAUAUGAGAAGCCCAGAGCACCACUGUGAUAAUUCAUUACAGCUGGGAUUGUCUGGGGCAUCAGAGAAACCUUCAAACAGCAGAUGUCUGGUUAAUCAGAACAGAAGCAUCUUCCUUUCUCAGGAGAGAUUUUGGAAGGAAAGAUGAGCAUGGUCUGUUGCUCAGGAUGAUGACUGUAGUUCCAGCCAUCAUAUCUGCAUUCCACCCUGCAGGAAGGAAGAAAGGAUGACAAAAGGAUUCAUCUAGGUGACUCUCAGUGCCAAACUUUUCUAUAGGACUGGUAAGUUCUGGAAAGAACACACUGGGUAACCAGAUGGUAAGCCCAGUGAUUCUUCUGGAGUCUAGGCACAUUCAUGCUUGUUUUCACCACUCAUUGAUUACCCGUGACUCUGCUUGCACAGGAUCUCCAAAUGUCCUGGUGACAUUUACAA